rnacentral:rRNA from 1 species
UGGGGAAUUUUGGACAAUGGGCGCAAGCCUGAUCCAGCAAUGCCGCGUGAGUGAAGAAGGCCUUCGGGUUGUAAAGCUCUUUUGUCAGGGAAGAAACGGCUGKGGUUAAUAYCUUUGGCUAAUGACGGUACCUGAAGAAUAAGCACCGGCUAACUACGUGCCAGCAGCCGCGGUAAUACGUAGGGUGCAAGCGUUAAUCGGAAUUACUGGGCGUAAAGCGUGCGCAGGCGGUUUUGUAAGUCUGACGUGAAAUCCCCGGGCUCAACCUGGGAAUUGCGUUGGAGACUGCAAGGCUGGAGUCUGGCAGAGGGGGGUAGAAUUCCACGUGUAGCAGUGAAAUGCGUAGAGAUGUGGAGGAACACCGAUGGCGAAGGCAGCCCCCUGGGUCAAGACUGACGCUCAUGCACGAAAGCGUGGGGAGCAAACAGGAUUAGAUACCCUGGUAGUCCACGCCCUAAACGAUGUCUACUAGUUGUCGGGUCUUAAUUGACUUGGUAACGCAGCUAACGCGUGAAGUAGACCGCCUGGGGAGUACGGUCGCAAGAUUA